GACGAACGCUGGCGGCGUGCCUAAUACAUGCAAGUCGAGCGCAUUUACGAGAGCUUGCUCUCGUAAAUUAGCGGCGGACGGGUGCGUAACACGUGGGCAACCUGCCUAUAAGACUGGGAUAACUUCGGGAAACCGGCGCUAAUACCGGAUAAUCCACAUCUACUCAGGUGAAUGUGCUGAAAGACGGUUUCGGCUGUCACUUAUCGAUGGGCCCGCGGCACAUUAGCUAGUUGGUGAGGUAACGGCUCACCAAGGCCCCGAUGCGUAGCCGACCUGAGAGCGUGAUCGGCCACACUGGGACUGAGACACGGCCCAGACUCCUACGGGAGGCAGCAGUAGGGAAGCUUCCGCAAUGGACGAAAGUCUGACGGAGCAUCGCCGCGUGAGUGAUGAAGGGUUUCGGAUCGUAAAACUCUGUUGUUAGGGAAGAACAAGUACCAGAGUAACUGCUGGUACCUUGACGGUACCUAACCAUAAAGCCACGGCUAACUACGUGCCAGCAGCCGCGGUAA
rnacentral:rRNA from 1 species